CUUCAAAAACAACAAGGACCUACUAGUAAUUAUGCACUAACCUGGUAGGCAAACAGUAGUCCACCUUAUACUAGUUUGGUUCUGAAACAUAAAGAGAAAAUUAGAAAAAGCUGAGCGGGGUUUCCUAAAGUAGUAGGCUUCUUCUCAGGUUAUAAAAGCAACUUCCUUGUUCAACUUGUCUCUGCUGCUCUCUCCAUUCUCCAUGGCAAAUUUCUUGCAACUGGAAAAAAAGACUAUACCAGUUAAUCCUAAGCCUUUCUUGAACAACUUGACUGGGAAGACUGUAAUUGUAAAACUCAAGUGGGGAAUGGAAUACAAAGGUUUUCUUGCUUCGGUCGAUUCAUACAUGAAUCUACAGCUUGGUAACACUGAAGAAUAUAUUGAUGGUCAGUUCACUGGAAAUCUUGGAGAGAUUCUGAUCAGAUGCAAUAAUGUUCUGUAUCUUCGUGGCGUCCCAGAAGAUGAAGACAUAGAAGAUGCAGACCGUGACUGAAAAUGGGGACUUCAGUCAUUGAAUCAAUGGAGAACUUGUAAAUUUAUUCGUCAAGCAAAUGACAGUAGGAAUUUUGUUUUUUUGUCUUCCAGUGGGUAGUGUUUACCUUGAUGUCGUUACAUGCGAAAUCUUGACGGCUUGCUUUGGCUCGUAUGUAAUGUAAGAGAGGGGGAGAGAGAGAGAGAAGAAAUACCUGGAAUUUACGAAUAUCUGGUAUAUGUCCGAAUGGUGGAGGCAGGGUUACCACGAUAGAAAAGCCCACAGAGAUGCAUGCAGCCAGCUAUCCAAUUAAUAACCAACAUCCCAAAACUUGAGCAAACAUCUCUGGGUUAAUUACUCCCUCAAUCCUGACAGAAUCUCUGAACUCUGCAACACAACCCUUUCUAUUACAAUUUGGAUCAAGUCAAGAAAUCUGAACAGAAUGAGAACAUUCAAAGAUGAGAAGCUCAGAAUAUCAAAUGAUGCCCUUCUUGACCAUGACAAAGACGGGAUUGCGAUAUCAGAUGACGUCCGCAAUAGUUGGACAGGGGUUUCUUCUUUACAAUGCAGUCUGUGAUGCUCUCAAGAAGGAAUAUCCAAAGUCGACAGGCGAUGAAUUAUUUCGGUAUGCGAGAUUGGUGAUCUCCGCAGUCAUUGCAAAGAUUCACACCAUUUCUGAAAACUGAUACAUUAUUAGCAACGAUGAGGGCAAACUGGAUUUCUAUGCAAAACCUGACACGCAUGAAAGAAGACCACAAUUUGGAUUGACUAAAUUAUUUGUUUUAAUGGGUCAUCAAUCAUGUGGAGCUUUGGAACUAUCCUAAUUGGCUUAGGAAUCUAAUAACUCAAGAUGUAGAUGGCCAUGAAAGGCCUGACCAUGUGGACCUAGCAGUUCUUGAAAGUAUACAAUUCCUGCUAAUAUAAUGACAAAAUGGUCUCCGUAGUUUACAGAGACAUGGAAAGAAAUGUAGCAAGGUACAACGAGUUUCAAACUCGCAAUACUCAUUUUUAGCUUAAUUAAAUUUUAAAUA